rnacentral:misc_RNA from 1 species
CCAAUAGCGUAUAUUAAAGUUGUUGCAGUUAAAAAGCUCGUAGUUGAACUUCGGGAUCAAUGGGUCGGUCAUGCCGUCGGUAUGUACUGAUUUUAUUGGUUCCCACCUUCUAAGGAACCGUAAUGUCAUUAGUUUGAUGUUGCGGGGAAUUAGGACUGUUACCUUGAAAAAAUUAGAGUGUUUAAAGCAGGCUAACGCUUGAAUACAUUAGCAUGGAAUAAUGAAAUAGGACAUCAGAUUCUAUUUUGUUGGUUUCUAGGAUCGAUGUAAUGAUUAAUAGGGAUAGUUGGGGGCAUUAGUAUUCAAUUGUCAGAGGUGAAAUUCUUGGAUUUAUUGAAGACUAACUACUGCGAAAGCAUUUGCCAAGGAUGUUUUCAUUAAUCAAGAACGAAAGUUAGGGGAUCGAAGACGAUCAGAUACCGUCGUAGUCUUAACCAUAAACUAUGCCGACUAGGGAUCGGAUGAUGUUAAUUUUUUAAUGACUCAUUCGGCACCUUACG